rnacentral:rRNA from 1 species
UACAGAGGUCCCAAGCGUUGUUCGGAUUCACUGGGCGUAAAGGGUGCGUAGGUGGUUGGGCAAGUCUGAUGUGAAAUCUCCGGGCUUAACCCGGAAAUGGCAUUGGAAACUGCCUGGCUAGAGUGUUGGAGGGGGGACUGGAAUUCUCGGUGUAGCAGUGAAAUGCGUAGAUAUCGAGAGGAACACCAGUGGCGAAGGCGAGUCCCUGGACGAUACCUGACACUGAGGCACGAAAGCCAAGGGAGCAAACAGG